rnacentral:tRNA from 1 species
GAGAGUAUAGCUCAGUGGUAGCACGUGCUUAGCAUGCAUGAGGUCCUGGGUUCAAUCUCCAGUACCUCCA